UUUACUGACGCUAAAGCUCGAAGGUGCGGGUAUCGAACAGGAUUAGAUACCCUGGUAGUCCGCACGGUAAACGAUGGAUGCCCGCUGUUUGCGAUAUAGUGUGAGCGGCCAAGAGAAAUCGUUAAGCAUCCCACCUGGGGAGUACGCCGGCAACGGUGAAACUCAAAGGAAUUGACGGGGGCCCGCACAAGCGGAGGAACAUGUGGUUUAAUUCGAUGAUACGCGAGGAACCUUACCCGGGCUUGAACUGCAGCGGAAGGAUACAGAGAUGUUGACGUCCUUCGGGACCGCUGUGGAGGUGCUGCAUGGUUGUCGUCAGCUCGUGCCGUGAGGUGUCGGCUUAAGUGCCAUAACGAGCGCAACCCUUUUCGCCAGUUGCCAUCAGGUGAUGCUGGGCACUCCGGCGACACUGCCACCGCAAGGUGUGAGGAAGGUGGGGAUGACGUCAAAUCAGCACGGCCCUUACGUCCGGGGCUACACACGUGUUACAAUGGGGGGUACAGAGAGUCAGGUGCCGGCAACGUCGCCUCAAUCAAUAAAGCCCUCCUCAGUUCGGAUUGGGGUCUGCAACCCGACCCCAUGAAGCUGGAUUCGCUAGUA
rnacentral:rRNA from 1 species